rnacentral:rRNA from 1 species
AACGAACGCUGGCGGCAUGCCUAACACAUGCAAGUCGAACGAGACCUUCGGGUCUAGUGGCGCACGGGUGCGUAACGCGUGGGAACCUGCCCUUAGGUUCGGAAUAACUCCCCGAAAGGGGUGCUAAUACCGGAUAAUGUCUUCGGACCAAAGAUCUAUCGCCUUUGGAUGGGCCCGCGUUGGAUUAGCUAGUUGGUAAGGUAAAAGCCUACCAAGGCGAAGAUCCAUAGCUGGUCUGAGAGGGUGAUCAGCCACACUGGGACUGAGACACGGCCCAGAAUGAUGAGGGUGGCAGCAGGAGGGGAACGGCGGCAAGGGAGGGAAGGCUGAGAGAGAAAAGCCGCGGGAGGGAAGAAGGGUUUCGGAGCGGAAAGAUCUGGUGGAAGAGAAGAAAGAGUGGGAGAGUGGAAAGUUCAAACGGGGACGGUAUCUGAAAAGAAAGGGAAGGCUAACUAAGUG